ACAGUGUGAAUGUGAACAAGAACCGGUACUUGGAUGUCGUACCAUGGUUGUUCUCAAUCCAUUUAAGGAUUAUAGACCAUCUGCGAGAGGAUAUAUAUAAAUUCAAGCCUCAUCACGGAAUUGCUCCUUUCUGCAGACUUCUUCAUCAGAAAACAUUUCUCGGUUCAUAGCUACUACACAGGGCCCACUAACACAUACGUACGAGGAUUUCUGGGAGAUGAUAAUACAGCACCAUUGUCCUGUGAUUGUGAUGAUUACUUGAUUAGUGGACAAUUAUGAGACUGUAAAAUGUGGAGAUUACUUUCAAGCAGAAGAUGGUCCUAGAGAUUUUGGAAAUAUUUCUAUUGUGACUAAGUGGGUCAAAACUACUGACACCUCAUUACUGUUGCGCAGCUUGGACGUGGGCUACAAAGAGGAGUUGUCUCUUGUAAGUGGCGUGCAUCUGUGGUGGAAAACAAGGGAUCAGGGUACUGGAACUGUACCCUUCUGGCAGCUGGGAUCUUGUUAACAUCCCUCUUCUUUGAGACUUUUAUUGCUCAAUCACCUCAAUUGAGAUCCUAUGAGAACAAACAUCUUCCACCUGAGCAUAUCAUCACUACAUUCAGCAUCUGCCUGGAUGGAGGAAAAUCAUUUCUGAGGCAGAGGAAUCACCUAUGUGUUUUUGCACAUUAAGUAUACCGAAUGGCCUGACCAUGGAGUUCCCACGAACACAAAUGCUGUCUUUGAAAUUCUCAAAAGAGCAUAUCAUAUGCCACCCAGUCUUGGCCCUGGUAAUUUGCUAGAUCUCCAUAACAUCUGAAACAGCCUCUCUCUUGUUCAGUGCAGGAAUUGGUAGAGAAUUUAUUUAUUGAACAUAAAGCAUGUACCUUGUUAUUUAUAUCAUAUG